AGCCAGCUGUGCAAAGCGCCAGGGCCCCUUUCCAGGCCUGGCUGAACACUGAGUACAAACUGCUGAGGGGAAAAAAAAAAUCAAAACUCAGCAGAAUAAGGGCAAAGGAGAUAAUGGGAGGAGAAGGCUGAGAACGCUCCCUUUCUUGGGGAAUAAAGAGAGUCGGGGAAUCACAGAGGACGCCAGCGUGCUUCUGAACACCGAGGAAACUGAGGAAAGGACUUUAAAGCUAGCUUAGCUACUUCAACCCAGUUCACCUUCUGAGGCCCAAGGAAGACAGGACGUCACUGAAAUGAGCACCAGAAAAGCACUGUGGGGAAAUCCUGAGAAUGUUAUUAUUGUAAGAAGUCCUACAAUCCCACGCCGGUCAGAAUCGCUAGACACAGAAGCAAAGCCCAGGCUUGCUCGUCCUGGUUGGAGGCCACGCUCCUGACUACCUUCAGUGAGUUAAACUAGCCCAAUGCAAGCUAUGAGGCUUGCUGUGCCUUCCUCCUCCCACUUGGUCAACAACUUUGUGCUCACUUCAGACUUCCGCCCAGUUGCCAUAGCGACCCAACUAGAGGACUACCGUAUGCGGGAGCAGCUCAUAACCCUCAGUUAUCUGUUCUCAGUCCCUUCACGGCUCAGACGCAAGCUGAUGAAUCGUUAACGAAGGAUGGAUGCUCCCGGGAUGGACUUCCGCUUCGUGGUUUCCUUCUUCUACAGCAGAUGUUUUAUCCAUUUCCGUUUCUGGGUUCAUUUGUGCAGUAACAACUAUGGGAUUUUAAAAUAUCCAGGCAGGAGAUCGGUGACCAGAGAAACCCGAAUGUCGUGUUUCCUUGGUGUUUCUGAGGAGUGCCUCCCAAACAGAACUGCGCCAUAUGAAAUCUUGUUUCAUAGUCUGACCAGGAGAAAAUGCAAACAAAUGUGGUCCUCUAACUUUCCCGGAAUCGUGUGCUCAGGCCAUGUGCACACACAGCACACAUAUAAUGAAGCAUUUUAGUGUGCGGAGGACACACCUUACUGGCAAUCCCUAAUGAGUCAUGGCCUUCAAAUAGUCCCAGUGUGGAUGGAACUCAUGGCUUCGCUCUAGCCAGAAGCUGCAGCAGGAGAAGUGAGUAGUCACUCCUAUGGUGGUUUUCAUGACUGCGGACUACAGACAGGGUCGUGUGUCCCCUGUUGGAUGGCAAGAAGCAGACUAUUCCACUUGAGGGAAAGUCACACAGCUGGUGAUCUUAGGAACCAGGUUAGGUCUCUGGAAACAGCAAGCGACCUCAGUCCUGCAACCAUAAGGAAAUAAAUUCUGGCAACAACUUGGCAUUGUUGGGAACAUAGAAGGAUAGUGUCAGCACUGCACAAUGGAACAUGCAAGCAUAGCGAAAGCAUCUGGCAAGACAAUUUCUCUUUACACAAAGGCUGCACCAGAAGCUAGCAAGCAAGCACUGGGGCCGGGAGUUCCCUUAGUUUUUAUUCUAAGGUGACUGUCUUUUCCCUCCUUUCCUGGGCUCUGAUUGCACAGUCUUUCAAGUCUUGCAACCAGGCCUUCGUGUAAACAAAAGAGGAGGUGAAGGAGAUUAAAGUCGCGGGAGAUUUAUGGAAUACUGGCCCUUGCCAGGCUAAUGACCGUCGAUAGAAAUGGUUUUUUGAAAUGUGAAAGAGAAUAUAUAAACUGCUUUAUAAAUCUCAUCACCCUCCAUUGCUGGCUAGACUUUGUGGCAGUGACCACUGGAUGAGGAGACAGAUGUAAUUCUGCUCCUACUUUUAAGUUUCUGUCCACCCAGGCAGAGAGGGUGUGGCCAAGAAGACCAGUCCGGAAGCAGCUCAAGGCCUGUGCUCGCGGCUCUUUCUUCUUCCUCUGGGUUUCCACUAAGGGCCACCAACCAUGGGAUGGUGCCCGCCACGGUCAUUCAGGGCAGGUCUUCCCCUGACGGCUCUCUGGACUCACCCUCACAGAUUUACCCAGAGGUGUGCACGGCUAAACCUUCUAGGCCUCUCUCCAUCCUGUCAAGUUGAGAAGCACCCAGCACUGUUGAUUUCUGAGUCAUGCCUCGAACAUUUCAAGCUUUGCUCUGCUUUUGUGACAAAAUCCAGUGAUGUACUUGCUUCGCUUAUGAGGACGAGGGAGCCAGUGCUGGCCAGCUUCCCAGGCGCCCUGGCGUGGAGUAGAGCUAAGUGUGGCUGCAGGCCUCUCAGAGGAUGAAGGAUGCACGCAGAAAAAACUCAUGUCUGAAGGAUUAUUGACAUACUUGGACGAGUUGGACGCCUUGCAUUUGGUCCCUGGAAUUCACAUGGUUCCAGAAGAGACUGGUUCCACCAAAUUGUCCUCUGAUCUUCACGCAUGUGUUGUGGUAUUAUAACGCCCCCCCCAUACACACACAAGUAAAUUUAAUUUUAAAAUUUAAAAAUCAAAACUGAUCUUAAGAACAGUAACCAGGAGCUGGGAGGUGGCUCGGUGGCUCCUAGCUUGCUGCUCUCCCAGAGCUGCAGGAUCUCCAUGACACAAGACAGGAAGAGUUCCAGAGAGGGCCCAGCAUCAAUAGUGUAGCAGAAGCCAGAGCCUGGAAUCAGACCAAUGACUCAUUGCAAUGAGCUCUUAUAAGUAAAGA